UGCAUAUUCAAAAAGCGGAGGAAAAGAAACCAACCGGGAUUGCCUUAGUAACGGCGAGUGAAGCGGCAAAAGCUCAAAUUUGAAAUCUGGUACCUUCGGUGCCCGAGUUGUAAUUUGGAGAGGGCAACUUUGGGGCCGUUCCUUGUCUAUGUUCCUUGGAACAGGACGUCAUAGAGGGUGAGAAUCCCGUGUGGCGAGGAGUGCGGUUCUUUGUAAAGUGCCUUCGAAGAGUCGAGUUGUUUGGGAAUGCAGCUCUAAGUGGGUGGUAAAUUCCAUCUAAAGCUAAAUAUUGGCGAGAGACCGAUAGCGAACAAGUACAGUGAUGGAAAGAUGAAAAGAACUUUGAAAAGAGAGUGAAAAAGUACGUGAAAUUGUUGAAAGGGAAGGGCAUUUGAUCAGACAUGGUGUUUUGUGCCCUCUGCUCCUUGUGGGUAGGGGAAUCUCGCAUUUCACUGGGCCAGCAUCAGUUUUGGUGGCAGGAUAAAUCCGUAGGAAUGUAACUUGCUUCGGGAAGUAUUAUAGCCUGCGGGAAUACUGCCAGCUGGGACUGAGGACUGCGACGUAAGUCAAGGAUGCUGCAAUGCAGAGUG
rnacentral:rRNA from 1 species